rnacentral:rRNA from 1 species
CUGGCUCAGGAUUAACGCUGGCGGCGUGCCUAAUACAUGCAAGUCGAAUGGUAGUAGCAAUACAAACCAUGGCGAACGGGUGAGUAACACGUAGGCAACCUGACUUUAAGACGAGGAUAACCGUUGGAAACGACGGAUAAUACUGGAUAGGACAUCAGAAAGGGCAUCCUUAGAUGUUUAAAGGUUAUUAUGCCACUUAGAGAGGGGCCUGCGGCGCAUUAGCUAGUUGGUGAGAUAACAGCCCACCAAGGCGAUGAUGCGUAGCCGGACUGAGAGGUUGAACGGCCACAAUGGAACUGAGAACGGUCCAUACUCCUACGGGAGGCAGCAGUAGGGAAUUUUCGGCAAUGGGCGCAAGCCUGACCGAGCAACGCCGCGUGAACGAAGAAGUUAUUCGUAAUGUAAAGUUCUUUUAUCUGGGAAGAAAAAACAAAUUGACGGUACCAGAUGAAUAAGCUCCGGCUAACUACGUGCCAGCCGCAGC